GUCAGGGCAGAGUGUGGGAUUUGCUCCGACCAGCUCAGUCAGUUGCAUUUCACAAAGGCAGGGACAGACAGUACCACAGGGUCAGUUUCUGUUCCCUGAAUGGAAAGUCCACCAAGUCCACCAAGGAAAGUCCAAGGAACUUCAGCUUUUCAGGGGCCAGCUGGACACUAGGUGUGUCUGGGGGUGUCUGUCUGAGGAUAGCAGCAGCCCCAAGGGCAGAGCCAGAGUGUGACAUGAGGGGCCAUGAGGAGUUGGAUCAGACAUCUUAGCAAUAGUCACAUUCUAUAAUUCCCCUGUGCGAAAGCCUGGCCAGAGAGGAAAGAUCACUUCAUGAGACAGACAAUAUUUUAUUUAAUGUGUUUUGGACAUUCCCCUUUACUGCUCCCAGGGAGAAAUUCCAGAAAGCCUAAGCCAGUAAGUGCAUUCAGGCCUUCAGAGUGAAUCUUCAAUUUAAAUACAGAACUGUUGUAAUUCUGAAGAACAUUACAGAAGAAAAUGUACACAGUCUUAACUACUUAGAGUUAAUAAAUUGUUAUAUUAAAUGAUAGAGAAAUCAUUAUCUACAUCUUUUUCUAAUUCCUUGCAUUUUCUAGACAGCUUAUUAAAAUACAGGAAAUGUAGAUUCAUCUGUACAAAAUUUGGAAUGAUUUUUCUAAGAUUAAAUACUUAUUGGAUAAGCUAAGAAUUCUUUUCUAACAACUGGUUUUAAUGCUUUGACUUAGAGGGACUUUGAGAAAUCAGGUGAUACCUUUCAUAGGCUAAAGGUCAGGAGCUCUUAUACUCUAGGACAAAAAGAGAAAAAAAAAGCAAAAGCUAACUUUCUGUGGUCUCUACCACACGUUAAAAACAAUCUGCAUGUUAGACUGAACUUGCUCAGAACCUCCAGAAUAAAAGCAUACUUUACACUGUCCUUGCUUUGUUAUGCACUGUAAUGAAAUGUGAAAAUAAUGCUGUAUUUAGCUGCCUGUAUGUGACUGAAAAUAUGCUUGUAUUUAGCAAAAUGGUUACUACGUGAUAAUGUGAAAUUCAAAACUUGUAAAGAAA